UACACAGUGGUCAACUCUCUAGCACGAAGGAAGAGUCACGUGGAUACAAUGCGAAGCUUCUGUCUAGCCACUAGGAAUAGAUCAGCGGCACUAGAUCAUACAAAAGAUCCGGAAAGUCAAUCUAAGAGUGUUAGUCAAUCUGGAGACACCAAGACAGCCAGCCAAGACCAGAAAUUGAUCCAGAUCCUGACGCUCACAAUCAGAUCUGGAUUGAGUGUCCACGCUGCACCUUGGAAUGCCCUAUCGCCCAUCAUGUGAUGCAUGUAUUAGACGAGCUCUUUUAUGUAUGUGGAAAGCCUACUUAUCAAGUCCAGCUGGCUCUGUACAUUUUCUUGUGCCCAAAUAAACACAAGAGCAGUUGUUGCUUUGGUGCUCCAACCAGACGAAUCUGCUCUGCGGCUAGUGCAGUAACACAAUGUCACGUGAGAAUGUGAGGGUCAACAUGCACUUGUGAUACAGAAUUGAUUUCACGGAUCUGGAUCAAUCAUUGAUUCAGAUUAAACCCACCUCUAGAUGUGGAGUGAGAUUGAUCACGAUUGGAUCCGGAUUGGUUCGAAGUGGAUCAGGUGUGGAUGUGACAGAUUAUGAUUGGAGAUCGAGCUGGGUCCAGUGUCUUGUGUGGACAGUGUUUUAGUGUUAGUGUCAUGACUGCAGUUAUUGAAGCAUACAGAUUUCAUUUUGUUUGCCUUGGUGUCUUUUCAUGCACAUCUGAUUCCUGUUAGAGACUUCUGUAAGAGUGUUUGGACUUGUUUGUUUCAGCUACGAGCCAUAAAAAACGGGA